rnacentral:rRNA from 1 species
CAGUCGCCGCGGGAAUACGAAGGGGGCUAGCGUUGUUCGGAAUUACUGGGCGUAAAGCGCACGUAGGCGGAUAUUUAAGUCAGGGGUGAAAUCCCGCAGCUCAACUGCGGAACUGCCUUUGAUACUGGGUAUCUUGAGUAUGGAAGAGGUUAGUGGAAUUGCGAGUGUAGAGGUGAAAUUCGUAGAUAUUGGAUGGAACACCGGUGGCGAAAGCGGCUCUCUGGCCCGGAUCUGACGCUGAGGCGCGAAAGCGUGGGGAGCAAACAGGAUUAGAUACCCCAGUAGUCCCUGUCUCUUAUAC